AUAACUAUCUUAGAGAUUAUAGAGAUAUUGUGAAGAAAAGAUUAAGAAGCCGAACAAGGGAUACUAUUGACAUAGAUAAAAAGGUUCAUAGAGAAUUUGUUGAUUGGUUCUCUAAUCAUAUUUGUACUAAUCUCAACAAACUUCCUGAUGUAGAUAAAGACAUUCUUAUCAGUCUUUCUCAAGGACCAUAUGACCAAGCAAGAAAGUUCUCUUCAUAUGAUGUUAACGGAUAUAGAUUUUGAACUUUGGCAAGGGAUAAUGGAUUAAAAACUCAGAAUAGCGGAGUCUUUGGUACAUUUGGAACAAGAAGUUACUCAAGUAGUAAAGAUACCCGAAUGAACUUUGGUGCUGUACCUUAUUAUAGAAAGUUGGUAGACAUCAUUGAGCUUUUCUACAAUGGCUUUACAGUUCUCUUGUUUAAAUGUCAAUGGGCAAACACAACUAGUCCUAGAGGAAUCAAAAAGGACAAUUUGGAUUUUUUAUCUGUGAACUUUACAAGGCUCAUACAUACUGGUGAACAUGAAGAUGACGAGCCAUAUAUUAAAGCUUCUGAAGCCCAGAUGGUAUAUUAUGUGGAUGAUGAGAAGGAAAAAGGAUGGUGCAUACCAAUUCACUUGAAGCCAAGAGAUUUAUAUAACAUGGGUGGAGAUAAUAUGGGUGAAGAUGACGAAAUUGCAGUAUCCAAUGAUAAUUAUCCACCACAAGACUUAGAGUCUCUUUUUCCAGAUGAAAAUACAAAUAUAAAAUUAGCGAGAAUAGUUGUAGAUGAUGAUCUUCCAAUAAUCAAUGAAAACUAUGAUGAGAAUGAGGAUAUGCUUGUGUAAAAGACAUUGAACUUACAAGAC